CAGGGCAGCUGCCUACCUACCACCCCUCGCUGUGGGCUUUAUUUCAGGGUGGGCAGGGAGGCAGAAAAGGCCUUGGCUCUUUGUUACCUCUGCUCAGUGAUAACGAAAACAUCUCUACAUUAUCAACACUGUUUCCAGCACAAAUCCAAACCACAUCCCAGACCAGCCAUUGUGAAGGAAAUGAACUCUACCCCAGCCAAAAGCAGCACUGGUGUGUAUGUAUAUAAGGCUCUUUCUGUGAUGAUCUCAGCCAAGAAGAGAGCUAGAAGGAGUAUCGAGGAAAUCUGCAGAGACACAAUGAUGAGCAGGCCAGCAGGUAGGGAAUACAGGAGCUGGAAGAUAAUACCUGUACCUGGAAAGAAAGCACAGCAGAAAGAGUAGAUAUUCUCAAGGCUGGCAGAUCAGCAGCCACAGGGAACAGAGUGUUUGCCAGAGUGUGGAGGGAUGGAGGGCUCACCAAGGAACAGCUCGAGAAAACAGCAGUAUAACUUGGCAAUCACACCUGUAGCCAAUGCCAGGAAUGUGAGUAACCAUGAUCCCAGUCCCUGUGAAGGGAACUCUAGUACAAAAAUCUCUCUGGCACAGGCUAGAUUAGUCCUUUCAGCCACUUCUUCAGCCUCCUGAACUAACUGAAGUCUCUGGUAGAAUAACUACUUGCAGAAGGAUGCACAGAUGGGGAUGAAGCAAAGGACAGAUCUUCAGGUGGAGUGGGCUUCAUGGAAAACACAUGGAAUAUCAAAGAGGAGGCUUCCACUGCUCCACAGACUUCAGGAGGCAGGAGGAUGUGCCAGAAAAGGACAGUGCUGGCAAACCAUUGUGAGGGGAACACAAGUCCUCUGAGCAAAAGCGGAAAAGGAAAACAAGAACACAAUCCUCAGAGUGUCAUUUUAGUGACUGUACACACUUAAGUGGUGUCACUUUGAUGGGAGAAAUAAACUGAAAGUGGUGUAAGGAAAGACAAGCCUACAAUUUUGCAUCACUUAGGAAUCCUCUCAGGAGGCAGAGAGGAAGCAAGGCAACAGGAACGAGAAAUCAGACAAGAAGUUUACAUCAAAGUGAAGAAAUCCAAAUGAAUGAUUCCAUUCAAUUACCUCACAGAUACCAAAACAAGACAGCAAGUACAAGAAUAUAGAAUUGUCCUAACAGCAAAACUUGACCAUUUGUGGAAAUCUUAGACCUUGGGAAGCUGGUAUAAUCAUUGUCUCAUUAUAGACAUGAAAUCUGCAGUAGAAGCCAUGGAGUGAAGAGUUCAAGCCCUUAAGUUCAAAAUGUUUUCCAGAGACUUUGCAUAGACUGUUCUGACAGCUGAAAACUAAGAUUUGGAGUAGAAAAAGGUGUAGUCAUUUUGUCUGGUGGAUGUGUACUGACAGCACUAGAAAGUGGAAACUGAAAACAGCUUGGCCAUAGGAUCAGAGUUAACAGGCCAGGCAGGCACUCAGCUACAGGGAGCAAUCAAAGUGAAAAGGUUUCCAAGGUUAAAAAUAAAUAAAUACAUAAAUCA